rnacentral:tRNA from 1 species
GGAGAUGUAGCUCAGUGGUAGAGCACUUGCCUAGCAUGUAUAAGGUCCUGGCUUCAACCCCCAGCAGCACAA